ACUAUACUAAAAGGAGGAUAACAAGAGCAAAGAGAGUGUCCACGUCUGCUAAAAAAAUCAUCCAAUCAGAUGAUUUCACUUGACACAUCAUACUACAUUUAUAUAUUUCAUGCGACAUCUUCUAAGUGGGCUGUUUAUACUUUAAAAAAACCCAUAUCAGCCCAUGGUCACUAAAUCUCUUUGGUAUGAAAGCGUAAAGUCCCGACCCUUCUCCUUCGUUUCAUAGACGAAUUUCUCUGUAAAUUUUCGUUUGGAGAGUAACGUACUAACACAACUAAGCUAUUCUUCUCCCUUUUGUAUUUUUGCCUUCCUUCUCUUUAUAUAUGUCUCUUGAAAUAUCUCUUCACCUACUCACGCUUCCGUUUCUCACAUCUACAAUUGUGAUCUAUCUCACGUCUCUCUUCCUCAUAAAGAGUGAGGAUGAAGAAGGUGAAGGUGUGAAUAUCAGUGGUUACUUCAUCAUGCUCGCGUUCACGUUCAUUAUCAUUUCAGUCCUCGCACUUCCAUUUUUUUAGUUGUUGUGUCUCACUGCAGGUAAGUUACGUUAGACUGACUUUUGUGACUAUCAUUAUGGUGUCGUUAAACCUCUUGACAAGUAAUGACCAUUACGGUAAAAUCCAUUCAUAUUCCCAUUUAUUUUUGUCAUGCUCUCUAAUGGACUUGAAAUUUACAGAGUCCAGUGGAGUCAAGACUCAAAACAUGCUUAAUACUAUGAGUCAGAUUUGUUCUGGAACAAACAGUAAUAUGGUAGUUAAGUUUGUCUUUAACAUGCCAUAUUUUUACUCUAUUCUGCCUUUUGAAGGCUGUACCAACAGUAUACACAGAUGUAAGUUGACCCACAAUUCAAUCAAAUCAGGUAAUGGCGAUGCCCUUAAAUAUUGAACCUUAUAAUCUAACAAUUCUCUUCCUUUUCAUAGUAAGAGUAGUUGGCACAGCUCUCAGUGACCAAACAUGUUAAGAGCUCGGAAGCAGGUCAGCUCUCAUCAAGGAAAAUGAUUACGUUUAUAUAGUUCUGAUAUGGAUUUCUCUGUUUUACAAAAGCUAUAUAUAAUCAGUAAAUUCAGAGCCAGAGUCUUGCCAUUUCCAUACAUGUUUAGUUUUGUUUUCAAAACUUUUACCAAAUUUUAUUCAUAGAUUCUAACAUGGCCAUGUAUGUAGGCUAAGUAGCAGGUUUACAAGGCGUCUUCUAUGGAGAAUGUGUCCUUCGCGAGCUUAGGAGAGGUUGUCCAGAUAUUGUAUUUCCCAUGGGGUUAUACAAAUUCUAAAACCGUAGAUAGUGUUAUGAUACUUAAUGUCUCUGUUGCAGACAAACAAUUAUCUUUCUCAGCUUGAGGGAACCACUGAGGUCUUGGUCUCACUCCCAUUUUGUUUCCAGUACAAAAAAAAAGAACAUGAUUACUUCUAUAUUAUAUAUCUCAAUGUUUGGAAUUUAAAUAGUAAAGAUUGGAAUAAUUCAGCUUAUUUUCUUUAGCUCGAGCGUAUAAAGUCACAUUUCUUAUGAUUACUGAAGCAGGAGCGAUCCCUGUUUUGGUGAACCCUUUAACCUCAUAGGAAUUCUGAUCCAGUACUUGCUUCAUCAGCCUCUCUAUAUGAAAACAACAUAUGGCUGAUAUUGUUUUCUGGUGCAGUCACUUCAAUAUCUCAAGUCCUUAAAGCUGGAACAUGGAAGCAAGAGUAAACGCAGACAUGUGGAUGAAGCUUUCAAACGAUUUACAUCAGACAUGUGGAUGAAGCUCUCAAACGUCAGACAUGUGGAUGAAGCUCUCAAACGAUUUACAUCUAUUUGGAUCCAACUGCUGCGGAAACGUUUGUAUCAAAGAAAGUUUAUCCUGUAGAAAAGUCAUGGUGGGCAAGGUUUAACAACUACUCAGUUGAAACAGUAUGAUCUCUUUCAUGUUGAUCAUACAAGCUUCUGUCUUUUCCCAUGAAUUCAGACUCCAUUGGUUUGUUCCAACAGCAAAUGCUUCUACAAGUCUCACUGAUUGUGUUUCUAAUAAACGGUUUCAAGCCGGAGACACCAGUUGUAUAAAAGAAAGCAGAGAGGCAGAGCUAGAGAGAAUUGUGAGGCUGAAGAAAGCAAAGGCAGACAUUAUCCAGCUAAAAGCUAACGAAGAAAAGCGGAGGCUGAUUGGUGGGUUAUUUGUAAGGACGUGGACAAUAUUCGAACGCUAUAUGCAGAGCUGUUUUCAUUACUUGAUUUUCUAACGCUACCAUCAGUUUAUUCUUACCUUCAUCACCUUAUCUCUUAAGAGUUGCACAUAUUUUUUAUUUCUUUCUCUAGAGAAACAGAUACUUAUCAUUCAUUUGUUCCUAAUAUUGAUCACUCUCUUCUGUUUUUCUUUGUUUCAGGUAUGUGCAGGUUGCAGAGUUUAAACACCUCUGUGUUAAGCUAACACCAAAGAAUGCAUACUUAUGCCUUUUGUAAGCCAUGACAGAACUCUCAAGCUUCCAAAAGAAUAUGAUACUACAACCACUUGGUGUUUGUGCACCAGUAUUGGAAGGAUCCUAGGUCAGUCUUAUAUGCAUGUUCCAAUGGCAUUGUGCAGCGGUAGCACAAAGUACAUGGUAAUCCAAUGAGAGCCAAAUGCUGUCAUUCGAGGGAAGAAGGUAACAUGACUGAUUCUGAUGAAUCUUUUGCCUUUUUUGGGUAAAAAUCUUUUGCCUUUUUGUUCCAAGGCAGUUGUUUUUAAUAAAUUAGUGCUACUUUUUGCUUUACAUUAUUGGGGUUUGGUAAUGUUUUAGUCAAGAAGACCACCUAACUUUUGGUCUUUUCUGUGACAAACCAAUGACUUCUGGACAAUGCAAUAUGGUUCUAACUUUUAGGGAGGCUUGGUGACUACCUGAUUGAAUCAGGGCUCCGAAACUCAAGCUGCUGCUAUGUUCAUGUCACCAAUAUUUUCUUACCUUCUAUCAUGCGAUGGAUCUCGGGAUUGUAUGAUUCUAAAGCAGUCUGGUAUUGUCUUCAUUUGUGUCAAGUUGAUAAUUUUAAUUCAUGGCAGUGUCGUACCAUAGUUUUUAUAGAGUUUAUGAUUAGUUCUAGAGAUUAAUCUUUAUGUGGUGUGUUAAAAAAAAAUACUUUUGUUAAUCCUAAUGUGUAAUUGAUUCACAAGAUCAAAGGCACAUGUAAAUUACAUUACAAGUUUACAACUAACAAGUAAUAUAUGUACAUCGAUUC